AUUAGUGCCAGAUAUUAGGCGGUGGUUUAGACCACUGCAUGAAUAUUGUCCCCAGAAGCCAAGACAAGGAAACAACCUAAAUGUCCAUCAACAGAUGAAAGGAUAAAGGAAAUGCGGGUGCACUGGAUAUACACAGAGCAGAAUAUUAUUUAACCUUAUAAAAGAAGGAAAUCCUGCCAUUUGCUACAACAUGGUUGAGCAGAUUACGCUUCCAGAAAUGAGCUAGACAUUGAAGGGCAAAUAUUACAUAAUUCCACUGAUAUGAGACUUGUAAGAAAAUAAAAACAGAGUGUAAAAUUCUUCUUGUCAGAAGCUGCAGAGAAAGAGAACUGGACAUUCCCUGGUCGACCAGUAUAAAAUUUCAGGUCAGGCCAAGAAUCUAAUGGAGGACUUUUAGCAGAGGAAUGAUGGAGAAUUGGGCUUGACAAAGAACACUUGGCUGCCGUGAAGGGUGAAUUGGAGCAGAUCACGGCCACCUCUCUGUGUCUUGUUGAGAGCCACAGCCAAAGGGGCCCCAGCAAACUUCCAGCUGCCAGCAAACUUCCAGCUGCUGGCUGAUGAUUGGCUCACAGCGGCCCCAGCAACAUCUAGCUGAUUGGCUCCUCGGCCCCAGCAACAUCUAGCUGAUUGGCUCCUCUGCGGUGAUGCUCAUUGGGCUGUUUCCCUGCCCUUUCAGACCACGGAGCUGCUCAUUGGGGGACCUUUUUGGCUCCGCCCACGUGACCCAGCCAAUCGGCCUCAAGAGCAGGAGGAUUGGGGGAGGUGGAGAGAAGCUUGGGUGGGAGAGAGAGGCUUGUGGAAAGCCGGUGGUGGCAGUUGAGGCUCUGAGGGUUUUUCCUGAGAGGCUGUUUUGUUUGGCGUGUGUGGUUCUAAAAAUAAAGUUAGUUUCUUUUGACAAGUGGCUCCUGAUUGUGCCCAGCCAGACUGCGGCAGUGUCUCUCCUCUACUGGUUCUGUUCUCUAAAGAACUCUAAUACAGCACGUCUAUAUUGGCCUUCUAACUUCUCCGGCCCUCUUCUAAGCUCGUGAAAAUCUAUUUUCCCAAACUGGGGAGCUAAAGAGUGAUGAGUGGGAGCCACUGCCAUUGCUGUCGUUGACAAAGCAUCGGUGACUGAGAAAUCCAAGGACGAAGAGAGAUGAAGAUGAACAGAGGAAUUUAUUUCUGCUUUGGGGUUUCUUUUUUCCCAGCACUGCUCUGGGAGCUCUUCCUGCUGAGAUCCACAGUCAGAGACUUCAGUCCCUGAGUCAGCCUGUAGAGAAGGCAAGAGGAUCCCCUUGAUCCCUGGACCCAAGGAGCCACAUCCUCCCCAGACAGAGCUGCAGACGA